rnacentral:rRNA from 1 species
AUUGAACGCUGGCGGCAUGCCUUACACAUGCAAGUCGAACGGUAACAGGUCUUCGGAUGCUGACGAGUGGCGAACGGGUGAGUAAUACAUCGGAACGUGCCCGAUCGUGGGGGAUAACUACUCGAAAGGGUGGCUAAUACCGCAUACGAUCUACGGAUGAAAGCGGGGGAUCUUCGGACCUCGUGCGGACGGAGCGGCCGAUGGCAGAUUAGGUAGUUGGUGGGAUAAAAGCUUACCAAGCCGACGAUCUGUAGCUGGUCUGAGAGGACGACCAGCCACACUGGGACUGAGACACGGCCCAGACUCCUACGGGAGGCAGCAGUGGGGAAUUUUGGACAAUGGGCGAAAGCCUGAUCCAGCAAUGCCGCGUGCAGGAUGAAGGCCUUCGGGUUGUAAACUGCUUUUGUGCGGAACGAAAAAGCUCCUUCUAAUAAAGGGGGCCCAUGACGGUACCGUAAGAAUAAGCACCGGCUAACUACGUGCCAGCCGCCGCCGUAAAAC